GGACCCUUGGCGCAGCGGUAGCGCGUGAGAUUCCAGUACAUGAUUGCUGCUUCCUCAAGGUCAUCCGUUCAAAUCGGGUAGGGUUCA